ACUCCUACGGGAGGCAGCAGUGAGGAAUAUUGGUCAAUGGAGGGAACUCUGAACCAGCCAUCCCGCGUGUAGGAAGACGGCCUUAUGGGUUGUAAACUACUUUUAUACAGGAAGAAACGUACCCUCGUGAGGGUGCCUGACGGUACUGUAGGAAUAAGCACCGGCUAACUCCGUGCCAGCAGCCGCGGUAAUACGGAGGAUCCAAGCGUUAUCCGGAAUCAUUGGGUUUAAAGGUCCGUAGGUGGACGAUUAAGUCAGAGGUGAAAUCUUGCAGCUCAACUGUAAAAUUGCCUUUGAUACUGGUUGUCUUGAGUUAUUAUGAAGUGGUUAGAAUAUGUAGUGUAGCGGUGAAAUGCAUAGAUAUUACAUAGAAUACCAAUUGCGAAGGCAGAUCACUAAUAAUAUACUGACACUGAUGGACGAAAGCGUGGGUAGCGAACAGGAUUAGAUACCCUGGUAGACUGUCAU
rnacentral:rRNA from 1 species